GAUGAACGCUGGCGGCGUGCCUAAUACAUGCCAGUCGAGCGAACGGACGAGAAGCUUGCUUCUCUGAUGUUAGCGGCGGACGGGUGAGUAACACGUGGAUAACCUACCUAUAAGACUGGGAUAACUUCGGGAAACCGGAGCUAAUACCGGAUAAUAUUUUGAACCGCAUGGUUCAAAAGUGAAAGACGGUCUUGCUGUCACUUAUAGAUGGAUCCGCGCUGCAUUAGCUAGUUGGUAGGUAACGGCUUACCAAGGCAACGAUGCAUAGCCGACCUGAGAGGGUGAUCGGCCACACUGGAACUGAGACACGGUCCAGACUCCUACGGGAGGCAGCAGUAGGGAAUCUUCCGCAAUGGGCGAAAGCCUGACGGAGCAACGCCGCGUGAGUGAUGAAGGUCUUCGGAUCGUAAAACUCUGUUAUUAGGGAAGAACAUAUGUGUAAGUAACUGUGCACAUCUUGACGGUACCUAAUCAGAAAGCCACGGCUAACUACGUG
rnacentral:rRNA from 1 species